rnacentral:piRNA from 1 species
UGGACUAAUGUAAAUGUGCCCUGCAAAUGAGC